ACAAAAGUUCUCUAGGGUUCCGCAGUUUUAACUGGCCUGUGACCAAGAGAGAACUCACAGUUUUAUAGCUGUGUCACGGAAGGAUAAAAGCCUGGGAGAU
rnacentral:sRNA from 2 species